UUAAGAGUAGUUUAUUUAGAAUGGCAGCUUUGGGAGUUGUUGGUCAAUUAUUUUGUUCUUAAA
rnacentral:tRNA from 1 species